rnacentral:misc_RNA from 1 species
GUAUUUAUUGCGUUUUUAAGGCAAUUCAAAAGACAUUCAUAACACAUACAAAGGGUAUACGAAAACAUAGUCCCGGAAGGAACUACAGUUAGUGCACAGGUGUGUGGAGAACGAAGAAAAGGUGUGCACAUGCCGAAGCCAGCUACAACCCUUUAACGAUUCGAUAAUGAUCCUUCCGCAGGUUCACCUACGGAAA